CAGAGUCAAGGUGGCCAAGGUACCAGCUUGGUCAACCCUGAAAGACCAUCCCUUCAGCAAGAAAUGACCAGGUCUUUUCCUGGUAUUUUCUCAAGAGGAAAGGGAAAAAGGCGAUUCCCUGCUACAUCUCUGGUGCCUGCUAAGAAGCCUAAACCUCUUGAAGUGGUAUUUUAUUUGCUCCCAAAACAAAUGGAGAAGACCCCAACAGAACAUGAAAAAUAUAUCCACACACAGGCAGGGAUGGGUCAAAGAACAGCACAUCUUGAUGAGAGCACAACACAUGAAGAGUUAAGGGACGCCCUGAAUGAUUUGUUUCCCAAACUGAAGGAGGUAACAGGUGGCUGGCUGCUGUUCAAACCUG